CCUAAUAGGCCCAGCCCAAGAACGAACAGAAGCAAGAAUAACGAACAGACGACAGGAAACAAGUUCAUCCUCGAGUUGAGAAGAGACCGCAAAUUAAAUUAGUAAAGAUGAAAGGGCUGCCAUCGACGUCGUCUUCAAAAUUACCCGUCAAGUUCAGGAUGCCAACUGCUCAGAACUUGGUACCCAUUCGUUUGGACAUAGAAAUUGACGGCCACCGCUUUAAAGAUGCUUUCACCUGGAAUCCUUCUGAUCCGGACUCAGAAGUCGUGGUUUUCGCUAAAAGGACUGCCAAAGACUUGAAGCUCCCUCCUGCUUUCGUUAUGCAGAUUGCUCAGUCUAUUCAGACACAGUUGAGUGAGUUUCGAUCCUACGAAGGCCAAGAUAUGUUCACUGGCGAGAAAUUUGUUCCAAUCAAGCUUGAUCUUCGGGUCAAUCGCACUCUUAUCAAAGAUCAGUUUUUGUGGGACUUGAACAACUUUGACAGUGACCCUGAAGACUUCGCUACAACCUUUUGCAAAGAUUUGGGUAUUCAAGACCCUGAAGUUGCACCUGCAGUUGCCUUUGCAAUUAGGGAACAACUUUAUGAGAUUGCAACUCAAAGUGUAGCUACUGCAAGAGAAAGCAGAUUAACUAAAAAGGGCCGCAGGGGCUUUGAAUACAUCCCUGCCAGUAAAGCCGGGGGUACUGCAUCAGAUUUGAUGAAGUUAUUCAGUAAUAGAUACAGCAUGAUUAGAUCUCUUGGUCUCUUUCUGUAAACCAUCCCUCAAUCUCAAGAAAAAAGCUCCGUACUUGUGCGACGCCAAUACAGUGCUCACAAAGAUGUGGUCCCAUUCUUCCUUAAUUAUGAAACAUUAGAUGGCAUGGAAACGAAAGGAGUGGGAUGUAUAUGAGCCUAUUGUUGAUCUCCUAUCGAAUGAGGAAGUUGAAGCUCUUGAAGCAAGGGAAGACAGGAAUGUGAGGUGAAUGAUAAAGAAUAGUGGGGCUUUUAAUCAAUCCUUAAGAAAAGUUUUGGAGUUGAUUGGAAAUAUAAUGAGAUAGCUUAUGUUAUUUGCAUAUCUGUUAUGUGGCUAAAGUGACUUGGGGGAAAAGGUUCAAAGCGGUUAAUCUUAUAGCUGCAUGGAUGAAGCAGCAGCAUGUUGGCAUAUUGUAUUUCUUUUUACUGUCUCAUGCUAUGCAAUGCAUCCGCUAGAAUUGUAUUUGCACUUCAUAUUACGUUAACCUGGCAAGUAUGUUAACCUGUAGGAAACUGCUGAAGUUGAAUAAUACCAUCUUUCAUCCUGCGUUCUCAAUAUUAAAACA